rnacentral:lncRNA from 1 species
GUUGAACGAUUUGCCGUAGUUGGUGAAACCGACAUCGGCGGCGUUGGCGGAUUUGGCGUAGGAGGUGAAGGAGUCGGCGCCGACGUUGGCUUGGUCGCGGUAGUUGGUGAAAUGCUCGGUGCCGCCGUUGCCGCCGGAGGCGUAGUUGGUGAACGUGUUGGUGGGGUUGUUCAUGUCGAUGCCGUAGCCUUUGAACGUGUCGUUGGCGGCGUUGGCGUUCUCGGCGUAGUUGGAGAAUCCGGACCCGACGACGUUGGAGCUUUUUCCAUAGGAGGUGAACUCGUCGGUGGGGCCGUUUCCGUUCUUGCCGUAGCUGGUGAACGAUUGGUCUCCGGCAUUGCCGUUUUCUGAGUAGGCGGUGAACGAUUGGGUUCUCCCGUUGGCGUCGUCGGAGUAGGAGGAGAAUCGGAGGUCAGGGACGUU